rnacentral:lncRNA from 1 species
AUUUAAUAAUAUUCAUUGAUAGAGAAGAAAAUGCUUAAAUAAUUGAUGUUUGUGUGUGAUACAAUCCUAGAAUAUUCUGGUAUAUUUGGUUGACUAGCUAUUUUCUAUUUGUGACAAAUUUUGAUAGAUGGAGAUUUGUUUGACAUCAAACAUCAAGACUAAUACAGUUUCCUCACUAUAUACUCAUCAUUUUGGUCAAUUUUCUAUUGGAUUUGAAGUGUUUUUAGACAUUUAGUUAAUUAAUA